ensembl:lncRNA
GGCCGGACGGGGGAGUCGUCCCCGAGGGCGAGGGCGUGCGGAAGACCGGCGCGACGUCACACGGAGCCCUCAAGAGCGGCCUAGUGGUGCUGAUGGUGCUGGGGCUGGCGGUGCUCACGAUGGCGCUGGCCAUCGGAGGACGCAAAGCCAUGGAGUCCUUCGACCGGCGCCAUUACACCCGCCUGGAGCUCAACGACCUGCACUACGAGGUGUAGAGAGACCCAAGGCCCCCCCUGGCCGGUCCGGCCUGCACCACCACCACCACCACCACCACCACCAACGGCACCACCACCAACGGCACCACCUUUAGUUCACCACCACGGCCACACGGAGAGAAGGAACACACAGUUGGACUGUCGCGUUUGUGUUUGGCAGACUGGAGCUGAGAAGGCUCAUUCCGGACAGACAGACACAUGCACUGCUCUUUUUAUUUUUUUCUUCGUCGAGUUCUUUCUAUUAUUAAUGAAUAUGUUUCAUUUCAAGAUAGCACACGGUUUUGCAUUUAUUGAAGUUUUCAUUUGUCACCGUGUUUGAAGGAGCACGGUGUUGGGUGAUGUGGCGGAUUUGGAUGAUUGAGAUAUUUUCUUAUGCUAUAACCAGUGCUAACUCAAGUCUAUGCGUGAAAUUGGUUUGUAGGGACGGGGGUGUUUCAUUGAACAUAGCGCGGGAGCCGUCUUCCCUUGGCUAUCUCCAUCUUCACUGUAAGGACGCGGGUAAAGCGAAGCUCCACUGCACAAAUUCGCCACUAGAUGUCAGCAGCUGUUUUAAGAUGCAACAAUCAUCCACCGUCGGACGUUGGAAGCUACCGAUCAUCACAGCCGCUUGGUUGGUAUUCCUUUAACGACAACGAAACAGUGUAUUUCUUUGGAAUGCAGAUAGGCCUAAUGAACAGCAAUAUUUUGUACCCCCUCUAAAAAAACACUCAGGAAGCCUCCGAAUUCUAGCCAAGUUCUAGAGGCAUACGGGAUCACACACCAAGACAACCAAUUGCUACAAGACGCUUUUCAAUUUCAAAUCCUUUGCAAUGGGGUUCCACCCGGUUUGUAUAAGGUGCACACAUGCAUGUUUCUUUAAUUUAUUUCACUCGCUUUGUACCAUAGUCACACGAGCUUGUGGUUGUUUCUUAAUCUAAUAGUCCUUUCUUAUAUGAUCUUAAUAACACAUAUUUCAUAGCAUUAUUUUGUAUUUUGUCCGCAAAUCACUUGUUCUAAAUGUGUAUGACAUUUUAAUAAUGGAUGCAAUUCCUUGAAAUCCGAUGCACUAAUUGUAUCCAGCGUUUUUGAUAUGACUUGCUUCUUUAUAAAUAGUAAAAAGAAAAAAGAAAAAAAAAAGCUGAGAGUACACUGACCACACUAUUUUCCUAAGUAACUUUUUAAUGUAUGUCAGCGUAUAAGUGAAUGUACAGAGUGUCACAUGUUGGGGUGUGAUUGGAGAGACCUAUCGGUAAAUAACCUUACAUUUCAGUAAACCGCGAGGGGGCGCACGGUACAUUGCAAACUGCUUCUGAUGUUGAUACUAUUGGCAUGCAGAAGGUCCCUUAGACAGUUUCAGCCUAAUUUAUAAGGCAUUAAGUUGCACACAUUCUAAGUUGUUGGCACUUAUUUUGCAUUCAUUUCUGAAAUCGUAAGAUUUUGUGUAAGGUAACAGUUUGGUCUUGUUUUGUGAAGUGCUGAUUUUACAUUUUAGCUUUGGAAUUUGGUGUUUUGUUCUAUAGGAAAUAUAAUGUGACUUUUGAAUAAACAAUUUUGUCAUCAUGAUUGUUAUCUUUCUGAUCACCCAC